AUUGAACGCUGGCGGCAUGCCUUACACAUGCAAGUCGAACGGUAACGGGCCUUCGUGUGCCGACGAGUGGCGAACGGGUGAGUAAUACAUCGGAACGUGCCCGAUCGUGGGGGAUAACGAGGCGAAAGCUUUGCUAAUACCGCAUACGAUCUACGGUUGAAAGCAGGGGACCUCAAGGCCUUGCGCGGACGGUGCGGCCGAUGGCAGAUUAGGUAGUUGGUGGGAUAAAAGCUUACCAAGCCGACGAUCUGUAGCUGGUCUGAGAGGAUGAUCAGCCACACUGGAACUGAGACACGGCCCAGACUCCUACGGGAGGCAGCAGUGGGGAAUUUUGGACAAUGGGCGAAAGCCUGAUCCAGCCAUGCCGCGUGAAGGAUGAAGGCCUUCGGGUUGUAAACUGCUUUUGUACGGAAAGAAAAGAAUUCUUUUAAUACAGGAGGGUCAUGACGGUACCGUAAGAAUAAGCACCGGCUAACUACGUG
rnacentral:rRNA from 1 species